rnacentral:rRNA from 1 species
CCAAUAGCGUAUAUUAAAGUUGUUGCAGUUAAAAAGCUCGUAGUUGAAUUUCGGGGUCAGUAGGUUGGUCAUGCCACUGGUAUGUACUGGCCUCACUGAUUCCUCCUUCCUGAUGAGCCGUAAUGCCAUUAAUUUGGUGUUGCGAGGAAUCUGGACUGUUACUUUGAAAAAAUUAGAGUGUUUAAAGCAGGCUAACGCUUGAAUACAUUAGCAUGGAAUAAUGAAAUAGGACGUUCGAUCUUAUUUUGUUGGUUUCUAAGAUUGACGUAAUGAUUAAUAGGGAUAGUUGGGGGCAUUAGUAUUCAAUUGUCAGAGGUGAAAUUCUUGGAUUUAUUGAAGACUAACUACUGCGAAAGCAUUUGCCAAGGAUGUUUUCAUUAAUCAAGAACGAAAGUUAGGGGAUCGAAGACGAUCAGAUACCGUCGUAGUCUUAACCAUAAACUAUGCCGACUAGGGAUCGGAUGAUGUUAAUUUUUUAAUGACUCAUUCGGCGCCUUAC